UACGGGGGGGGGCAAGCGUUGUUCGGAAUUACUGGGCGUAAAGGGCUCGUAGGUGGCCAACUAAGUCAGGGGUGAAAUCCCGGGGCUCAACCUCGGAACUGCCUUUGAUACUGCAAAUCUCGAGUCCGGAAGAGGUGAGUGGAAUUCCUAGUGUAGAGGUGAAAUUCGUAGAUAUUAGGAAGAACACCAGUGGCGAAGGCGGCUCACUGGUCCGGUACUGACGCUGAGGUGCGAAAGCGUGGGGAGCAAACAGG
rnacentral:rRNA from 1 species